rnacentral:rRNA from 1 species
GACGAACGCUGGCGGCGUGCUUAACACAUGCAAGUCGAGCGGAAAGGCCACUUCGGUGGUACUCGAGCGGCGAACGGUUGCGUAACACGUGAGUAAUCUGCCCCUCCCUUUGGGAUAGCCACCGGAACCGGUGAUUAAUACCGGAUAUGACCAUAUGUCGCAUGGCGUGUGGUUGAAAGUUUUUCGGUGCUGGAUGUGUUCGCGGCCUAUCAGCUUGAUUGUGAGGUAAUGGCUCACCAUGGCUGCGACGGAUAGCCGGCCUGAGAGGGUGACCGGUCACAAUGGGACUGAGAGACGGCGCAGACUCCUAUGGGAGACAGCAGGGGGGAGUAUUGGACAAUGGGCGGGAGACUGAGACAGAGACGCCGGGGGAGGGAUGACGUCCUUCGGGUUGUAAACAGCUUUCGGUACCGACGAAGCGGAAGUGACGGUAGGUACAGAAGAAGCACCGGCCAACUACGUG